UUGGGACUGGCGGAGGGAAGGAGGACGGGACAGGGAUGUGUUUCAGGCAUUGGGACUGGCAGAGGGAGGGAGGACGGGACAGGGGCGUGUUCGAGUCAUUGGGACUGGCAGAGGGAGGGAGGACGGGACAGGGGCGUGUUCAGAGGGAGGCAUUGGGACUGGCAGAGGGAAGGAGGAUGGGACAGGGGUGUGUUCAGAGGGAGGCAUUGGGACUGGCAGAGGGAAGGAGGAUGGGACGGGGCGUGUUCGGAGGGAGGGGGGCAGCUCCAGCGGGGCUGAGGGCCAGAACCACAGGUGCACGGCCAGGCAGACGGGGGAAAAGGCCUGGUUGGCACUGAGCACUGAACACAACUGUUCCUUAACGCUGUCUCCACAGUACGAUGAAAAAGGCCUGGUGAUUUGGCAUGCGUUUGCAGGGAUGGGGAUGGAGCAACCCGGAUGGGCUAAGGUAUGUGGGAUGACAGUGCCAUCCCUCUGUACACUCAGAGAAAUGCAUCAUCUUUAGGCCACUGACCUCAUAGUGGUGUGUGUGACGUUCAUUUACGUCGGCGGGUUAUGUGACGUCCCGCUUCACGUUGUGAGCCAUUAAAAGGCCUCAAAAGGACCGAAUCCCUCCCCCUUACUCAGAGUGAGUGAGGACACCAAGGAGCAAAGGAAUGGUAUUUGUAGGCUACAGACUCAAAGGUUUAGGGCGCUUUCUUUGUCAAGCUAACUUGAGCUGGAACAGUUGGCUAUGAAGGCCAUGGCAGUGGGAGUGGUUUGUCCCUUGUGCAUUGAGGGGAAUGUUACAAUGUAAUUCUUGUACACCAUCAAAGGAAGGGUCUGGCAGUUGGCUUGGAAAUUAAGAAGUCCCUGAGUCUUGGAGUGUCUGAGUUCAGCACCCAGCUCUUGAUCCCGAUUGCAGCUUCCUGCCAAUGCAGACCCUGGGAGUCAGGGCUGAUGACUUAGGAACUGGGGGCCCUUUCCUCCCACAUGGGACGUCUGAACUGAGUCCCCCAGCACAGGCUUUGGCUGCAGCUGGGGACGUUGUGACCAUUUGGGGAGUGAAUCAGCAUAUGGAAAUGCUCUAUCUUCCUCUUUUUCUCUGUCUCAUUCUCUCCUUCUCUCCCUCCCUAAACUAAAUUAAUAAAAAGAAAAAGAAAAAAAAACA
rnacentral:lncRNA from 1 species